rnacentral:rRNA from 1 species
GAACGGGUGAGUAACACGUGGGUGAUCUGCCUUGCACUCUGGGAUAAGCUUGGGAAACUGGGUCUAAUACCGGAUAGGAACCGUCUUUAGUGUGGUGGUUGGAAAGUUUUUUCGGUGCAAGAUGAGCUCGCGGCCUAUCAGCUUGUUGGUGGGGUAAUGGCCCACCAAGGCGUCGACGGGUAGCCGGCCUGAGAGGGUGUACGGCCACAUUGGGACUGAGAUACGGCCCAG